GCUCCUUCUGUUCCUGGUGUACCCCCUGCUUUUGGUACAUAUGCUACGCGUACCACAGGUUGAGAAACCAGGCAGUAAGCUAUUUCUAGCUGUUGCUGACUGUUUUAUGCAGAUGGCAUAAAUGAAGAAUUGAUAUCUGAUUUGCAGUUAUAAGAUAUAUUGAAUAACAUGUUACUUGGCCCUCUGCGUGUUCCACAGUCUUUACUGGUGUGUACUGGAG